CAGUCGCCACGGUAAUACGAAGGGUGCAAGCGUCACUCGGAAUUACUGGGCGUAAAGCGUGCGUAGGUGGUGGUUUAAGUCCGUUGUGAAAGCCCUGGGCUCAACCUGGGAAUGGCAAUGGAUACUGGCAAGCUAGAGUGUGUCAGAGGAUGGUGGAAUUCCCGGUGUAGCGGUGAAAUGCGUAGAGAUCGGGAGGAACAUCAGUGGCGAAGGCGGCCAUCUGGGACAACACUGACGCUGAGGCACGAAAGCGUGGGGAGCAAACAGGAUUAGAUACCCGGGUAGUCCCUGUCUCUUAUAC
rnacentral:rRNA from 1 species